GCGGUGCGCGGAAGCCCGGCCGCGCUCGCAAGACUGGGCGCGGGCCUCCGCUCGGUAACGUCCACGGGGCAACGUGCGCCCACUCCGUGCCAGACGCAGGCGGGAGACCCCGGACCCCGUACCCAAGAGCAACGGGCCCCGGGCCUGCGGACGGCAAACACAUCCCCCGGCGGCUCUGCGCGCGACAGGGGGGCUAGGGAACAUCACCACGCUCCGUGGGAAAAUUCUGGACGGAGUUGGCCAAAGCAGUCGCCCCCCAAAGUUACACGGGGACCAUUCUGGAACAAGUGAGAGAGAAUGAGCUGAACGGAGAAUCAUCCAAAUGUGGACGCAGUUAUCCCCCCACGUGGGCUGAGGCUAAAAGUCCACACAGACGGAGGACAUGCCGAGGCCGACCACACUCAGGACGACUCCCGGGUUCCACCCCCUGGGUUGCGUGGCGUGGCUGCCGAGGCCCGGCCAGGCGGGCGGACCCGUGUGCACGCCCAGCUGCACGUUCACGUUCACACGGCUGAAGAGAAUACACAAAGCUGUCAUCUGCUCCUUCAUUCAUCCAGAAGUUACUGACACACCUAGUAUGUGAUGGAUGCGUCCGUGAUUUGCAGUCUGUGGGAUGGAAAGUUAUGACCUCAUUUUUAGGUCUGCCAGAAAGGAUAAAGUUAUUUAUCAAGACUUAUCAUAGCAGACGUGGUGGUUAUCUUUCCACACCCAUUGAAAGCGAAAAUCAAAUCCUGGACAACUGGUCGUGUUUGUGAAGUCGUGUUGUUUUACACGCCACACGAAAAUGCUAUUUGGACAUAUUAACACUACAAAUGAGGCUUUCAUAACAUAUAUCAACGGAUUUGGGAAGGGACAACUUCUCAGUUGUGAGAACCCAGGGUAUUUACCACUGAACAAAAGUUUUAACACAUAAGCACGCAUUUGCAAGUGAAGAGUCUAAGAGAAAGGUUCCACGAACUCUGCAAAUUAAAACGAUAAACUGGGAAUGAAAAGGCGCCAGAAAAAAAGGAAUAAGGUGAUCUGCCAAAUGCUGGUUUUCAAUUCACUUUCAAGCUGAAAUCUUUGUCACUUUGAUGAGAAUAUAUUAAAAAAAAAAUGUUGCUAGCUCUGCUGUGUCAGCAGCCCAAAGCUGCAGGAACGCACGUCUUCCCCUGCAUACACACGCGCACACACACUCUCACACUCACUCACUGACAAGGAUUCCCAGGACACUGGGCCUCUUCUAGGCCCCUUAAGUGUUAACAGCACAGGCCUGGCUGCGACCAGGCGUCUGGCCCGAUUUAAAUGCCCUGUCUUCAGAGAACUGCGGUGAGCAUGGCCAUAAAACUAAGGGGCAUAACUGAACCUUAGAGUGUCUAACACCCCCCCCCCAACACACACAAUUUUACUCCUACAAUUAAGGCUGCUCGUUGGCAUUCCAUUUAACUGUCAAACUAG